GAUGGAACGCAGCGAAAUGCGAUAAGUAAUGUGAAUUGCAGAAUUCAGUGAAUCAUCGAAUCUUUGAACGCACAUUGCGCCCGCCAGUAUUCUGGCGGGCAUGCCUGUUCGAGCGUCAUUUCAACCAUCAAGCCCUGCUUGCGUUGGGGUCCUGCGGCUGCCCGCAGGCCCUGAAAACCAGUCGCGGGCUCGCUAGUCACACCGAGCGCAGUAAUACAUCUCGCUUUGGGCGUGCGGCGGGUUCUUGCCGUUAAACACCCCCUUUUUACCAAGGUUGACCUCGGAUCAGGUAGGAAUACCCGCUGAACUUAAGCAUAUCAAUAAGCGGAGGA
rnacentral:misc_RNA from 1 species